UCUCGAUCUCCUGACCUCGUGAUCCGCCCGUCUCGGCCUCCCAAAGUGCUGGGAUUACAGGCCUGAGCCACCGCGCCCGGCCUGGAUGAGCAUUCUUAUGAAGGCCCAUUGUCCCGUAUUCCAGAUUAUUCUUGUGUCUGGCCAGGUAGGAAAGCAAUUUCUUGAUGUAAGGCUAGAGGUGUUUUUAAGGGCUUGCAUAAAGAUUUGAAUAUGAUGUUGUCUACUAGACCAAAAAUCAAAUUGGCCAAAACAUUUUUGUUUGGGUGGUUUUUGGAAGAGUAAGUCCACGAAUGCUGUGCGGCUCUGGAGCCAUCUGAAGAUUCCAGCAAGCCCAUCGGUCUCUAUCUCUCCUGCUUACACAAAAGGAUUGAUUUCAGCUCUAGCACAUGGUGACUUGUGCUGUGUUCAUCAUCUCUUGGUAGGUGUCUGACAGGAGAUGGGCUCGGGCUGUGCAGGGAGGAGCCGUGCGGUGCACCACCUAUCUCCGCAGGCAUAACUGUUUUGUCUUCAUGGUGAAAUAAUAGCGAUGGUGGUGAUGAGGAGGAAGCUCCUGUGUAAUGACACGUUGGUGAUCACAUUAGGGCUCUGUGUCCACUCUGGGAGGUGGUGACAAUGACGUCGCGUUUGCACAUCAGGACACCGAGCCUCAGAGAGGUUGAGUCCCAGGGCGAAGGCCACGCAGUGAGUGCCACAGGUACCAUGACUACCUAACAAAUGACUCUGGAGCUCAGUGAUGUGAUGACAACCAUUUUGUUCUGUCUGGAUGCUGUGAGUCAGGAAUUUGGGCAGAGCCGGGCUGGGCAAACCUUCUGCUCUAAAUGGCCACUGAUGAGUCUUCCAAGCUGGUGGGUGGGCCGAUCUGGAGGGACUGAGAUGGACUCACUCACACAUUUCCUGCACAGUGGGGAGAGCUGGAAGGGGGGGCUCCCCUCUCCAGCAUGUGGUCUCAGGGCAGUUGGACUCCUUUGAUGGCAGCUGGCUUUCCCGUCCCCAGAUAACCAAGUGGAAGCUGCUUGGCCCUUCCUGACCCCUUGGACACCUCAGCAUCAAUUGUGUCACCUUCAUUUAGUUCAAGCGAGUCACAGGCUGGCCCAGGUUGAAGGGCAGUUGGACUCAACCUUUACAUGUGGGAAGGGCCAAGUUACAUGGUAGAAAAGCAGAUGGAAUAGGAGACAGUGCCCUGGCCCUCCCUGGGAAACACUGUGUGCCACAGACAGCCUGGGCAGAGCCAAGACCUCCCCUGGGCUCUGUCUGACCUUGGAGCCACUGCCCCACUCCUGAGCAACACCCUCUUGUAUCCCUGAACAGUCACAGGAAGCACAGGUCCUUCUCGCCCUGCCAUUUCCCUGUUCACAAAUAGCGAAAGCAUCCCAUACUUUUGCUCAUUUAAACACAGAGGGAAGGAGGUGAGUGAAAGCUUUUUUUAGGGGUAGAUUAGAUGUGAGGCAGACCAGCAGCCCUGGGUGUGCACCGGGUGGAAAUUAUUCUUACACACAGGGUUGGGUGGGGAUGCAGCCUGCCACUGCCCCUCUGGCCGUCCCCCUCCACAGGAGGCUUGCAGAUGCCCACAUCAGCCAACGGCCCUAGGUGGGCCCACAUGGCCCUCGGUGGGGAUGCGCUUGCCUCCUUGCCAGGGCCACUGCGGUAGGGAGUACUGCAGAGUGGAAACAGGUGAGCUGGGCUGAGUUUUCUGCUUGGCUAAUUCAGUGUGGCUUGACUCCAAGAAGGACACACUGACCUCCCCAUCGUCUUGUUUGUUCAGCCUUGCAGAAGCAGUUUUAUGAAAAACCAUUACAGCCCCGGUGGUCUGGGCCCAGACCCGGUGCACACCACGUGCCCGCACUGGGGGGUGGGGACCAUUCUCGGUGAAUAUGAUGGAGGCACAGGAAGCCGCCCUCCCAUUCAGGGAGAGCUCACCUUGUGUCUGCCCCUGGGGUGGGGUGGGGUGGGCAGUUUCCAGCCUUUGCCCAUGGGCUAGAGCUGCUGGAGGUCUUCCUGAGCUGAGGAGGCAGAGCUGGGCUGGCUGGGGCUGGGGGAUGCCAGGGAUACUUCCUGCGACUCCUGACGCUGCUCCUUCCUCUUUGGGGAUCCGUCUCCCACACUGUCCCUGCUGCCUUUACAUCUUCAGGGUGGAGAGGGACUCUGGCCACCCUGGGGCCAACCAUCCUGUGUCACUGCUGGUGUGUGUGACCUGUGGUGGGCCCUCCCUCAACUCUGUAUCUCCAGUUCUAAGCCAGAGACAAGAAUAUCCUCUGGGAGAUCUGUUCAAGGGUGGAUGGAGCUGAGGCGUUAGGUGUGUCUCAUGCUCAGGAAUGGUCCCGCACCUGCUCUUCUUUAGGAUGAGCAGUGGGACUGUGGGCAGAGGGAGCCACACGCAUCCAUCCUGGCUCUCAGCAUCCCAGGGAAAGACGUUCUGCUCCACCCUGAUCAGCCUCGCCCUUUAACCAACCAAGGGCUGCCUGCAGUGUGGCCGUGGGGAGCUGGAGCCAGGCAUGGCAGCAGCCCUUCUAGACAGUAGGCAGUAGGCAAGCCUGCUGAUCAUGGAGCCGAGAUUCUCUGUGGGACAGAACUGGUCCCCAGUAUCCCUGUGCCUUUGGGCCAAGAACUCAGUCGGCUACUUUGCUUCCAGGCUUGGGAACACUCGGAGUAGGCUGGGAGUCUCCUGGUCUCACCCUGUAAGCCCCACAUAAGCCUUGUGGACAGCACCGCUUGGCAAGUGACCCCCUCAUCAAAACCCCAAACUGGAAUGCUUCUCUGGCUACAUAGGCAUGGCCGUGUGGGGACAGUGGGAGGGCAUGUGAUAAUUCAGGGUAGCGGCUGAAAGCCUAGGGGUUAGGGCUGCUGGGUCCUUCUAAGGUGGUGCAGGGUGCACAGCCCUCUGGGCCUCAGUUUCCUCUUCUGUGAGAUGAGGACUCUAUCUUGGGGCCACAAGUGCCAGUGUUUUCUCUGGAAGAAAAGGCGACUGCUGAGGGAAGCAGCAUGCAGGUGUGAGGGCCCAGGCCCCAGACGGGAUCCCAUGAAGACCUAAGACAGUGAGCCAAGAGUGGAGAGAGGGGACCAGGGUAGACUGCGGUGGGCCCCAGGAGCCGGGAAGUGAGGAAAAUCCAGCUGUGCCCUGAGGGUUAGACUCCACUGCCAGUGUUCACAGGAUCUGGAGCUGAUGGGGACCUGCAGUGUCACCCUGAAGGGACAGAUGGCCCCCAGGCCAGCAGGAGGUGGCAGAGUCAUUUGGCAGCAACAUUUGACAAGCAGAAGGCAGUUGGUCCCUCCCGCUUCCUGUCCAGGCUCUUGGGGCUGGGACCCCACUCCCAGCCCUGUCCUCCCCAACCUCCCCACGCUUGCACAGGCUCCUCUGGGGCAGAGGAGGGUGCUGUGAUUUGUGGGUUUGGGAGAAGUUGGAAGCAUAACGGGUCAGUGCUGCAGCUGAGUCCACACUGCCUGUGCUGGGUGGAGCGGGUGAGGGCGUCCCUGGCUCUGGGGUGGUGUCACUGCUCACACUUUGUCCUGUAGCCAGGCCCUCUUCGGGGGUGAGGGUUCCACGGAGCCCUCCUUCUGCCUGGCUCUGCCGAUCCAACUCUUUUCUCUCCCUUGGGGGUUUCAAACUUAGACAGGAACGGGGUGGCAUUUAUUGGGCCCCAGACAACCUGACCAGGUCCCUCAGAGCACUGAGGCCAGGACGAGGAGGGUGGGAGGAGAUGGGAAGCGUUUCCUUUGUGCUCGCUCCCUGGCCAUCCCCAAACCUCCACAUGAACCUGGGGUGGCUGAGCAUUCAUUAUGCUUUGUCUUUGUAAAUAGGCAGCUAUAAAAACCUAUCAGCGUGCAGCACCUUCUCCAUGAAACAGGCCGGAUGGAUUUAUAACCCAGGCCCCCUCCCUGAGAGAAGCCUGCAAAGCAGGUCCCACCUCAUGCUGGCUGCCAUCACCCUCCCUGCCCCCGCCCCACCUCAUGCAAGCAGCAGAAGGGAAAGCACGUUGAGUUGUGUGUUUUCGAUGGAAUUUGUCACAAUAAGAAAGGGGAUUUUGUUGGGGCUCGUGGGAUGUUUAGGAAAGAGCCAGAGAGUGGUGCAAGCUGUGGGCUGUGCUGAGAAGCCUGGGCUACAGGAGGGCAGGCGCUGGAGUGUUGGCAGGGUCGGCACAGUGGCUCAUCUGGACAGUCCACAGCUGAUCCAGCCCACACUGUGUCAGACACUUUGCUGGGAGUAGGGGAUGUGGCUGUGGGUACGAUUGACAAGGUCUGUGUCCUGAGGAGCCUCCAGAUCAGAUGAGAUGGACAUGUGGUCAGUGACGGUACCAUGUCAGGUGGAAGAGACAAUAGGCUGAGCUGCCCAGAUCAUCACCUGACCAGCUUGGGUGGUGGCAGGUCCAGGAAGGCUUCCUGGAAGAAGUGAAUUCAUUCAGCACACGUUCAUCAGAGCCAGCGAUGCUUAGGCACUGAGAGUGCUGUCAGGGAUACAGGAGAGAAUGGGAGAGUCCCUGAGUCAUUCCAGACUCUGGGGUUGAAGUGUCUGCUGAUGGAGGCACGGGAGGGGCACAGCAGGUUCCCAUGUGAGCAGGGAGCUGUGCAAUAUGGCAGGUGGCAGCGCCAGGUGGAGGUGUCUCUACCUGUCUCCAGACCCCACUCCCCACCCAGGUAUGGAAUUGUUAUCUCCAGCUGACAGAGAAGGACACUGACGUGGGGGUUUCACCUCUCAGGAAUGGGUAGGCCGGGAUUUGAACCCAGGUCUGCAGACACCAAAUCUAUCCCUCACUCAGGCCUGCACUGACCUCUGUGCUCCUCUGGGGCUCCAGGCAGCUGCCUGGGUGGGUGCUGUGUCUGGGGUCUUUCCUGGUGUUCCUUAGGCCCCUCGCCCACCACCUUCCUUCAUUAUUCACUUGGAUGCCUUGAUGGUCUGGGCUGGAAUCCCCCCAAGCUGACCCACCAUGCGGCUCAUCUUCCUUUUCCUUCCAGUGCUUGGUGAGCUUGCCAGUGAGGUUGAACUGUUGCUUGAUUUUUCUGUGACCCAGAUGAAGAACUGGGUAAUCAUUUGCUCAAUAAGGUGAGAAACCCCAUGUUCCGGUUAAAGUGGGGGCACUGAGGACCAGCGAGGGGAAGGCAGUACUUGUAUUUGUCAGCCUGGAGGAGGUGCCAGAUACCAGCCAGAGCACCCCAACCUUUAUCUUGACCACUACCUGCAGUUGAUGCUGAACCUCCCACUCCACCCCAUAGAUGAGAGGAUUGAAGCCCAGAGAGGCCAGGCUUCUUGCCCAGGGCUGCACAGCCAGCAGGGAUGCUGGGAUUGGGAUUUGGCCCCAGCCUUGUCUGCCUCCAAAGCCAAUGCUAUUUCCACCAUACCCAGUGUCUCCCAGAGCUAAUUUUGCGGCUGGAACUCCAACCCGCAAAGCUAUCUAGGACAGGCAACUCGAUGAAAGAGAAUUAGGAGGGAAUCCUAGAAAAAUGGGGCUCGGCAGCUCCCGGGGAAGCCUGGAGAGGAGGUGGCACUGAAGCCUCUGCCAGCAGAUUGGGGCGGGGCUGUUUUCAGUCCUCUCUGGCGAGGCGUUUCGAAGCCUCCUCCGGGAGCCCUGUGCCUCCGUCCAGGACUGGCUGUUUCUCUGAAAAUCAUACCCCCAGCAGUGUUUGGCUUCGGGUGAAAGGAGAAGAGAAGAUUCUGGCCACUCAGAGCAGACCCUUGUGGGGGAUGGAACCUAUUUUCCAAAACUCUUGGGGCAGGGACCAGGGUGGCCGGCAGGGGCCCGUGGGCUGCCUGGGGGACCUGGUGCUCAGGGACUUAGAGAUUUGUUUUCCUGCUGAAUAUAUUGCUUUCUCGUGCCUGCUUUGUGCAACGACGUGAGGAUGUGGGGGUGAGGAUGGCCGACAGGACAUGGGAGUCCCUCUCGACAGGGGCUGGGCGGUGGCGGGGGUCCACGUGUCUCACAUCAGCAUAACUCUGUGUUUUCUCUCCUCUCCAGCACGUAUUUAGUGGAAAUAAACUCAUUUUAUUAUUAAAAAUUAAAGUCAUGUAUUCAUAGAGUAAACAAGACUGAGGGCACGCAGAGGUGCGCUGUGAAAGUACAGCUCUCUCUGAAUGGGCACUUAGAGACAUGCCUGUUCUCUGCAGCUACUGCAGGGGUCUCAUCUCGUUGGGACGGAGCACGGUUCAUUCAUCCAGUUGCCUGUUGAUCGACAUCAGGUUGUGUCUAGUUUUGUUUUUUUUCCCCUGCUUUGCAUGGUGCUGCAAAUUCACGGCUGUGACAGUGUCUAUGAGGGUAGAUCCCACCAGUGGGCCUUGGAGGGUCAGAGGGUGGGGCCUUGUACGUGGAAUUGGUGUGGUUGGGUGUGUGGUGCCUGCACAGGGCUAUGUAUUUUUAGCCCUCCCGGAGCCUUUCCUUCUGACACGGUCUGGAGGCCUCCUCUGUGCCUGGCCACUGUGCAGCUACUGAGCUGAGCAUCACCCAGGGCUUGCCUAAACCUGGCCUGGAUCCUGAAUGCUGCUCCACGGCAUGGAGGUUGGCUGGUUGAGUACUAAGGCCACAUAAGCAGGGGCACUGCCUCCACCUGCUGAGGUCAGCCCCCGCCCGGAGUUCAGCAGGACCUCCAUGAGCCUUCAGUGUCCCUGGGCUUCUGUGGCCCCACCUCCCUGGGUAGUCAGAAGGGUUAGGAGGGCGGGGCUGGCCCUGAGGACUCCAGCGUGUGGCAGCAAUGGGAGAGAGGAAACGGCCCAGAGAGGGAGGGAGAGAAGGACGAUCCAGAUGGUGGUGGUCUCCUCAUCCCUCAGCCAGUGAUGCAGCGUGGUCUUGAUGGGCUGACCUCGAGGGUCCACCUGGGAGCUGCUUGGAACUCUCUGGAGGUGGGGCCUGCCCUGGUGGGGGCAGGAAGGUCCCAGAGCAGCUUGUUAAGUGGGGUGAGGACAAGUGUCAGGAGACCUGGGCCUGGAUCCCGCUCCGCCACCCCUCUCCAUGUGACGUCUCGGUACCUCAGUGUACCCAUCAGUGAAGCAGGGAUGAAACAGUUCUUAAAUCCUGCAGCAUGGUGGGAGCCACCUGAGGAAACGAUGCAAAGGGCUUUGACUGAGUCUGGCACAGAGAAUGCACCCAAUGAAUGACUCUGCUGACAAUCUUUCUUCUCACCCUGGGUGGUCUCUGGAAGCCCCUCUGUGCGAGGUCUUAUCAUUUGUCAGCUGUGCAUCCCCCACCUGAGUGCAGCUCCCACGGGGUGUGUGCAGGAGCCUCUGUUCCUCCUG